CAGACCAUUGAAUAGGCUCACUUUCCCUGUGGGCCCGUCCCAGGUACCAAUGAUCAUCAGUAGUGCCCGACGAUGGAGGUUCAAAAGCAAAGUUAACAGAACUACGUGAAAAAUGGUAUACCAAGACAUCUGGAACCGGAAAUUGUCGGAAAGUGUGAAUGGAAAAGAAAUAAAUGGUUUAGUUGUCACUCCUAA
rnacentral:lncRNA from 1 species